rnacentral:rRNA from 1 species
AUUGAACGCUGGCGGCAGGCCUAACACAUGCAAGUCGAGCGGAUGAAGGGAGCUUGCUCCUGGAUUCAGCGGCGGACGGGUGAGUAAUGCCUAGGAAUCUGCCUGGUAGUGGGGGAUAACGUCCGGAAACGGGCGCUAAUACCGCAUACGUCCUGAGGGAGAAAGUGGGGGAUCUUCGGACCUCACGCUAUCAGAUGAGCCUAGGUCGGAUUAGCUAGUUGGUGGGGUAAAGGCCUACCAAGGCGACGAUCCGUAACUGGUCUGAGAGGAUGAUCAGUCACACUGGAACUGAGACACGGUCCAGACUCCUACGGGAGGCAGCAGUGGGGAAUAUUGGACAAUGGGCGAAAGCCUGAUCCAGCCAUGCCGCGUGCGUGAAGAAGGUCUUCGGACUGUAAAGCACUUUAAGUUGGGAGGAAGGGCAGUAAGUUAAUACCUUGCUGUUUUGACGUUACCAACAGAAUAAGCACCGGCUAACUUCGUG